rnacentral:rRNA from 1 species
AGAGUUUGAUCCUGGCUCAGAUUGAACGCUGGCGGCAGCUUACACAUGCAAGUCGAGUGGCGAACGGGUGAGUAAUACAUCGGAACGUGCCCAAUCGUGGGGGAUAGCCGGCGAAAGCGAUUAUACCGCAUACGAUUACGAGAAAGCGCGCGAAUGGAGCGGCCGAUGGCAGAUUAGGUAGUUGGUGGGUAAAGGUCACCAAGCCGACGAUCUGUAGCUGGUCUGAAGGACGACCAGCCACACUGGGACUGAGACACGGCCCAGACUCUACGGGAGGCAGCAGUGGGGAAUUUUGGACAAUGGGCGCAAGCCUGAUCCAGCAAUGCCGCGUGCAGGAUGAAGCUUCGGGUUGUAAACUGCUUUUGUACGGAACGAUAAUGACGGUACCGUAAGAAUAAGCACCGGCUAACUACGUGCCGCAGCCGCGGUAAUACGUAGGGUGCGAGCGUUAAUCGGAAUUACUGGGCGUAAAGCGUGCGCAGGCGGUGUGUAAGACAGUUGUGAAAUCCCGGGCUCAACCUGGAACUGCAUCUGUGACUGCAUGCUGGAGUGCGGCAGAGGGGGAUGGAAUCCGCGUGUAGCAGUGAAAUGCGUAGAUAUGCGGGGAACACCGAUGGCGAAGGCAAUCCCCUGGGCCUGCACUGACGCUCAUGCACGAAAGCGUGGGGAGCAAACAGGAUUAGAUACCCUGGUAGUCCACGCCCUAAACGAUGUCAACUGGUUGUUGGGCUCAGUAACAAGCUAACGCGUGAAGUUGCCGCCUGGGGAGUACGGCCGCAAGUUAAACUCAAAGGAAUUGACGG